UAUUUUGAAGUGAUUGUUGAUUUUAAGUUUUUUUUGAUUUAAUUUAUAAAUUAAUAUAUUAUAUUUUUGUUUUAGUAUUGUAUAAAGAAUAAAUUUAUUAUGUGGUACUGUAAAGGAUAAUUGAAAUAGUUGAAAAAUUAAUUAUAAAAAAGUAGAUAAAUUAUUGUACCUUUUGUAUCAGGGUUUAUCAAAUUUAUUUAAAUUAAUUUAUUUUCUCGAUUUCAGAAGAGCUANNNNNNNNNNNNNNNNNNNNNUAAUGUGUCAUGAUUAUUAAAAAUAUUAAUUAGGGAAGAAAUUUCAUUCGUUUUAAAGGUAUCUAGUUUUUUAAGAAAUAAAUUUAAUUUAGAAUUAUAAAUUAUUUAAUUAAUUUUUUAAUUAAAUAUAUUAUAAUAUUAAAAUAAUAGGGGAUAAGCUCUAUUUUUAUUCUAUAAAUUUAUAUUUUAAUCAAUUUAUGUAGGGUUAAGAUCAUCCAUCAUUUAUGAGUACGUUAUAGUAAAUAUUGAUUAAAUUAGAUUUAUUUAAAUUUUAGAAUUUUAUUAAAAUAAUAAAUUUAACAAAAUAUUUUAUGAAAUAAUGAUUAAAUUAGUAUAAUUAUUUGUUUAUAAUAAUUAAAUUGAGAUGAUUAAAUAAGGAACUCGGCAAAUAAACACUCGCCUGUUUAUCAAAAACAUCGUCUUUUGAAUAUAUAGAAGAUAUAACCUGCCCACUGAAGAAUUGAAGGGCCGCGGUAUUGUGACCGUGCAAAGGUAGCAUAAUCAUUAGUCUUCUAAUUAAAGGCUGGAAUGAAUGGUUGGACGAGGUAAAAGCUGUCUCAUUUAAGAUAUUUAUAAUUUAACUUUUUAGUGAAAAGGCUGAAAUAAAGUUGGAGGACGAGAAGACCCUAUAGAGCUUAAUAGGAUUAGUUAAUUUGAGAUUUAGUAUAUGUUUUAUUAUUAAUUUACCUAUUUUGUUGGGGUGACAAGAAAAUAAAUAAACUUUUCUAAAAUUUUACACUAAUGAGUGAAAGUAAGAUCCAUUUUUAGUGAUUAUAAGAAGAAGUUACCUUAGGGAUAACAGCGUAAUCCUUUUUGAGAGUUCUUAUCGACAAAAGGGUUUGCGACCUCGAUGUUGGACUAAGAAAAUAUUUGGGUGUAGAUGUUCAAAUGUUAGUCUGUUCGACCUUUAAUUCUUACAU
rnacentral:rRNA from 1 species